rnacentral:lncRNA from 1 species
UACCAAGUAUCGAGGCAGGCUGGGGGCUCUUUUGGGGGUUUAAACAGGUUCUGUCUUGCUUACAAAGGCUCUCCGUAGUCUCAGGAUGGCAAUCGUUGCUCGCUCUCCCUCAGGGCUUCCAACGCAGUAAGCAGGUACGUGCAUGUCAGCAUAUUCUCGCUGCAGGCUCGAGGUCUUUGGUGAGAGUAGUGAUCAAAAGCUGUCAUGAUUUUGGCAGACAAGAAAAAACAAUAUCAUCUGUAAAUUCUUUGCUGGUAAUUAAUCCUACCUGCAGGUAUCUCCUCUUGCAAGAUUUUUUGGAUUAAAAAAAAAGAGUUUUUCGUUUCAUUUUAGUGGCUGGAUAUAUAGAAAUCACUCAAGCAUAUAGUAAUAGUUCAUGUUGUGAAAUAGCUAGAAAGGAUUUUUGUCACUUCAUCCAUUAAUCUUAGUUCUAGAAACGAAAACAUCGAGAGGAAAUCAUUAACUAGUAAGAUUUCGUGUCAACAAAACAGAAAGGCAUUACAAGGGAAACAAAUUGGUCUUUGUGAUCCUUUCAUGGGAUAUCGAGAAGAGCUUCUGUUUUUUGUAUUUCUCUUGAUAUAUGAAAUAAACGUGCAAGAAAAGACCAUCAACAGAAAAUUAGUGUCUUUGCUAAAUUGUAGAAAAUAUGUAUGGUUGUCGUUCAAGCACCGAUCAAGGAUUUUUCCAAUUGACGUUGGAUUUUUCCAGUUAAUCAAGGAUCAAUCUUAACUAGCUUGCAGUUAACUACGAUCUAUGUCUUCGCUUCUCCAACAGUUAUUCUUCGAAAGAGCCACGCACAACAGACUUGCUCCUAUGCACCCAAGAAAGCUUUCCGUCCUCUUCAAGGUAGUGAAACUGAAAGAUACUCUUAAAAACAAUAAAGGCAAACAACAUUUCUUAAUAAACGCAGAAACCUCCUGAGGCAUGCCUCGAAGGCGAAUCUAAGACGCGAAUUAAUCUGGGCUACGCCUUCAGACGUGACAUAUAGCUUGCGACUUCUAAGCCUUAUCCCGGUGCCUAUCCGACUGGAUCAUCCUUUGGUAAGCCCUUAUUUAGUUUGCCUAACUGUUCUCUCCUUUUACUGGCGGAUAUGAUUGAUACUGUAGGCCAGCUUACUCCCCAAAAGCAGAUGGGAUGUGACCCGCCGGUGCUUAGGGGCCAGCAACUGCUUGUUCCUCGCUUGGGGUGGAGAUGGUGCUACAGGAGGUGUUUUGGUGUUGGUGUGCAGGUGCUCAGGUGCAGUAGGCUGGCUGGUGAAUGAACAAGGAAGUCAAAUGCCUCUUGUAAUUUCAAGUUUUGCCGUCACUGACUUUUCUCCUCUCUCCCUUUGGCCGUGAAACCUAUCUUCUUGAAGAAAGAGAGAGCCGCUGAUAAUAAACAUUUCAUACGAAAAUACAAUUUUUUAUUUUUAUUUGUUUAAAUCUCAACACCUGGCUUUCUUUGAAAAAGGAUAUAGUGAAUCAAAAGAAAGGUUUGCUUUGUUUAAAUGGUGUUGAGAUUACAAGAGGAUAUACGAAAAAGGAUAUUUUUUUAAAUUUAUUAUUUUUAUUUGUUUAAAUCUCAAUACCUGGCUUGCUGCAUGGGUGCUGCGGGAACAAAUGGCCGUGGAACCUGCAGAUCGAUCCACCGGCGUCCAUGUCCAGCAGUAGCCCUCCGAGGUGGUGCUCAAGCCAAGUAACGCGGUCUUCGAAACAACCUAAAACUAAAAGAAAAUAACAAU